rnacentral:lncRNA from 1 species
UUUACUCAAUUAUUUGCCAUAGUUUUACUGAAUUAAUUACCAUCAGAAACAUUCUCUGGUAAAUCCACCAUAUUGUUUAUCCCCGCAAUGCAUCAUGGUGUAUGCUAUCCAAAAAAUUUAUUUCAAAAACUAAAUUUUUCAAUAAACAUUUUGUGCAAAUUGCAAAAGUGAUUUUCAACAAAAAUUUUGAAAGAAAAACAAAGACAAAAAUAAAAAGUUGAAACACAAAAAUAAAAAGUUGAAACAAAAAUAAAAAGUUGAAACACAAAAUAAAUGUUGAAAUACAAAAACAAAAUUUGAAACACUAAGGGGCCAUUCACAAAGGAUGUCCGGCCAAAUGAUGGAUUUUCAGACCCCCCUCCCCCAUUAUUAAUUAAAACAAAAUCUAGUAUUAACUGCAUAAUCCUUAUAUAUAAAAGUAAACAAUACCCUGUUUUGAAGGGAACUCACUUUAAUUUAUAUUCACCAAACUGAGAAUGCCAAUGUUUUGCUGGAUUUUUGUAUCAUUUCUGCAUGAAAUAUAUUUGUAAAACAGACUCGUAUCAAACAAAAUAUCCCUUUAUAAAAUGUUUAAUAUAAAAUGCUAAUAUAUUGAUAACCCCCCCUAUGUCCGAGUUUGUCCUGAUUUUCCAACCCCCCCCCCACUUUGGCUCAGAUAUCCUUUGUGACUGGCCGCUAAAAUAAAAAGUUGAAACACUAAAAUAAAAAGUUGAAACAGAAAAAUAAAAAGUUGAAACACUAAAAAUAAAAAGUUGAGACACAAAAAUAAAAAGUUGAAACACUAAAAUAAAAUGUUGAAAAACAAAAAAUAAAAAGUAGAAACAGAACAAUAAAAAGUUAAAACACAAAAAUAAAAAGUAGAAACACUAAAAAUAAAAAGCUGAAACAGAAAAAUAAAAGGUUGAAACACUAAAAAUAAAAAGUUGAAA